rnacentral:misc_RNA from 1 species
AGGUGAGAGGAUUAUCAGAUUGUAGCGGGCGGCUGCAUCAUCAACUACCUACUUACUUACUUACUUGACAUGAAGAUAAAGGUGAUGAUACUACCCCAACUUUCG